CGAUUGUAUUUUUUGAUAAUACGAUAGUAAAACGACUUACGUCACGCCGCGCUAGUUUUCAGAAAGGUUUGCAUAACGAUUAGGUACUUUUGCUAAAAAAAAAAAAAACCUCUAAAGUACAAAGUUCAUCGGGUUUGUUUUUUUUUUUUUUUUUUUUGUUGUUGUUGUUAUUGUUGUCUAUUCAGCGUACACGCAUUGCACUGCAUGUAGGCCGUCCGUUAUUUUAUUAUACUAAUAAAGUAUUAUACCUAUCUAAUUGCACAUCGCGAUGUGUAAUUCAAUAAUAUAUACGAUAUUGCCCAAACGAAAAAUCGUAAAUGUUCUACCGACUGGUUCGGUGAUAAGGCGAACUAUUAAUUUUACAUUAAUCUCUCGCCUGCACGUUGUUUACACACUGCAAUAAUCGCAUUAAUAAUAAUAAUAAUUUUUUUUUUUUCAAUCAAAACUAAUUAAGACGCAUUCGACGAGUGAACG